rnacentral:rRNA from 1 species
CCUACGGGUGGCUGCAGUGGGGAAUUUUGGACAAUGGGGGCAACCCUGAUCCAGCCAUUCCGCGUGAGUGAAGAAGGCCUUCGGGUUGUAAAGCUCUUUUGUCCGGAGCGAAACGGGCGGCCCUAAUACGGUCGUCUACUGACGGUACCGGAAGAAUAAGCACCGGCUAACUACGUGCCAGCAGCCGCGGUAAUACGUAGGGUGCGAGCGUUAAUCGGAAUUACGGGGGCGAUUGUGUGCGCAGGCUGUUACAUCCCCGGGCUCACCCUGGGAAUGGCAUUUGGGACUGCAAGGCUGGAGUGUGGCAGAGGGGACUAGAAUUCCUGGUGUAGCAGUGAAAUGCGUAGAUAUCAGGAGGAAUACCGAUGGCGAAGGCAGGUCCCUGGGUUAACACUGACGCUCAUGCACGAAAGCGUGGGGAGCAAACAGGAUUAGAUACCCCAGUAGUC